CUUUCCGCCAGAGAACUACAAGUGAAAAACUUGAAACUCAAAGGACUUGACGGUGUCCCAUAUCGGCCUAGAGGAGCCUGUCCUAUAAUCGAUACCCCCCGUUCCACCCAACCCUAACUAGCAAACACAUCCAGCCUAUAUACCGCCGUCGACAGUUUACCCUAUGAAGGUCCAAUAGUAGACACAAUAGCCUUUAACACUAGUACGUCAGGUCAAGGUGUAGCAAAUGUUGGGGAAGAGAUUGGCUACAUUUUUUAUAAUAAAAUAUACGGAUUGCACUAUGAAAUACUGCAUGAAGGUGAAUUUAGUAGUAAAACAGAUAAGAGUGUCUGUUUUAACAACGCUCUGG
rnacentral:rRNA from 1 species